UACGUACUCCCUCCGUCCGGAAAUACUUGUCGGAGAAAUGCAUAAAAAUGGAUGUAUCUAGAACUAAAAUACGUCUAGAUACAUCCAUUCCUUCGACAAGUAUUUCCGGACGGAGGGAGUAAUAU
rnacentral:pre_miRNA from 1 species